rnacentral:misc_RNA from 1 species
UGGUUCUCGCAACGAUGAAGAACGCAGCGAAAUGCGAUACGUAGUGUGAAUUGCAGAAUUCCGUGAAUCAUCGAAUCUUUGAACGCAUAUUGCACUCUAUGGAAUUCCGUAGAGUAUGCCUGAUUGAGAAUCACAACAUUCUCACUACCUUGUAGUGGAGUUUGGCGCGUCACUUUGCCAAAAGUGUGCUUUGCCGAAAUCCAAGUGUCUUUUGUGUAACUUUUGUUUAUCGACACCCAAUCCAAUGCGAUUAAGCUCAGUCGGGCUCACAUUGUGGUUUGGUUCGAGACUGAAAAGUGACUUUUUGAAAGGCAACCUCAAUUUAAAAGGGGCAACUCUUUUGUUAAUUGAUCUCAAGUUAGGCAAGAAAACCCGCUGA